UACGUAGGGGGCAAGCGUUGUCCGGAUUUAUUGGGCGUAAAGAGCGCGUAGGCGGCCAAGCAGGUCCGCUGUGAAAACUCGAGGCUCAACCUCGAGACGUCGGUGGAAACCGUUUGGCUAGAGUCCGGAAGAGGAGAGUGGAAUUCCCGGUGUAGCGGUGAAAUGCGCAGAUAUCGGGAAGAACACCCGUGGCGAAGGCGGCUCUCUGGGACGGUACUGACGCUGAGACGCGAAAGCGUGGGGAGCAAACAGG
rnacentral:rRNA from 1 species